GUCUAGGGCCGUGCCAUCCUGAACAAACCAGAUCUUGUCUGAUCUCAGAAGCUAAGCAAGGUCGAGCCUGGUUAGUACUUGGAUGGGAGACCACCUAGGAAGACCGGGUGCUAAAGGCA
rnacentral:rRNA from 1 species